UACGGAGGGUGCAAGCGUUAUCCGGAUUCACUGGGUUUAAAGGGUGCGUAGGUGGGCAGGUAAGUCAGUGGUGAAAGCUCGGAGCUCAACUCCGAAAUGGCAUUGGAAACUACCUUGCUCGAGGGUUGGAGGGGGGACUGGAAUGCUUGGUGUAGCAGUGAAAUGCGUAGAUAUCAAGCGGAACACCAGUGGCGAAGGCGAGUCCCUGGACAACUCCUGACACUGAUGCACGAAAGCUAGGGGAGCAAACAGG
rnacentral:rRNA from 1 species